AUUUAACGCUGGCGGCAGGCUUAACACAUGCAAGUCUAGCGAGCGGCGGACUGGUGAGUACUUUCUGGGAAACUGCCUGAUGGAAGGUGAUAACUACUGGAAACGGUAGCUAAUACCGCAUACCAUCAUAUGUUCCCAGAUUGGAUUAGCUAGUAUGUGGGGUAAUGGCUCACCUAGGCGACGAUCCCUAGCUGGUCUGAGAGGAUGACCAGACAGACUGGAACUGAGACACGGUCCAGACUCCUACGGGAGGCAGCAGUGGGGAAUAUUGCACAAUGGGAGCAAGCAUGAUGCAGCCAUGCAGCGUGUGUGAAGAAGGCCUUCGGGUUGUAAAGCACUUUCAGCGAGGAGGCGUUACUCGCAGAAGAAGCACCGGCUAACUCCGUGCCAGCAGCCGCGGUAAUAC
rnacentral:rRNA from 1 species